AAGUGUUAUGGUGACCUUGAACAUAAGGUCAAGGUCACCCAAAUUGACUGCUGUCUGUGUAAUCCCCUAAUGUAGGCUGGCACUAAAUUUGACAACAUUGGGACCAACAUUUUAUGAGAUAUUGCGUUGACAAGUAU